CCUUGCUUUUUAAUGUUCCUGCUUGCACUCAUUUUAAAAUGUGAUCUCCUAUUUACUUCAAGGCUAGUCUACAGACUAUAUCCUGUCUGCAAAAGCCUCUGGGAUUUGGGCUUUCCUCCAUGAACCACAUUACUACGAUUCUGUGAAAAGCACACUUGAGCAUUGGAUAAUAUUUUGGUAAUUCUGCUUCUUAUUGAUCAUAAGUCAUCUGAUUUCCAUGAAUCUCUUGGCAUGUCAGAAAGUUCUCCUUCGUAAUAUCAUGGAGAAGUGACUCUGUGCCUUGUGAAGCUACUUCAUCACUUUCGGGGAUCCUUAUAAGACGAAUAUUGAUUUUCUUCAAAUUAUUGGUUUUGGCACACUGGAGCCUUGGGCUGUUGCCCUGGGUAGAGUGCCGUGGCAUCACAGCUCAUAGCAACCUCAAACACCUGGGCUUGGCACCGCCCAGACCUCCAUAAGAGUUGUGCCGUGACCCCCAACCUGCGAUCCGUGACUGCCAGGUCUCCGCAUGCCCUGACCAGGAACUUUGGGAGCCACACAACACUGCAUCCUCCCUCUGGUAUCCUCCCUGCCUCCAUACCAGCCCACUCAUCUGGCCAGGGACUCUGGUAGCCGUGUGCCCUCCAGAGCCUUCCCUGACUCUGCAUAGAGCCCUUCUCCUGGCCAGAGACUUCUGGAGCCUUGGGCUAUCUGUGCCAAAGUCACUGGGUGCCAGGCACUCCCAGAACCAUGCACACCACCUCCCGCCCUGUUGCUGGAUCCAGGUGUGCUACACUCCGGAGCUGUUUCCACAACCAGAAUUCCCUGGCUGGGGCAGCCCCAGAGGAACUACACAGGGUCACUCCCUAUAAAGAUCCAGCAACAAUAAAGUGAUCAUGCUGGUGUCUUAUCUUGGAGAGAUACCUCCCCAACUCUGAGGACAGCCAGAAGCAAUGGUGAAAAACAAUCAUGAGGCAAAAUCAAUGGAAAAACUCUGGCAAUAUGAAUAAUCAGAUUUGGUCAACUCCCCCAAGUAUCAAUGGGGCAGCACAAGAUCUCAUGCACAAACAAAUAGCUGAGAUGUUAGAAAUUGAAUUCAGAAUCUGGAUAGCAAAUAAGAUCGAAUUAGAAUUCCAAGCAGUAACCCAAAAGAUAUCUCAAGAAUACAAUGAAUUCAAAGACCAAAUGACCCAAGAUUUUCACACAUUGAGACAAGAAGUUGCAGCCCUCAAAGAUCUGAGAAACACAGUAG